GCCAUCUCCAUACAGCAUGUCUUCAUCUUCACCAUCAUCAUAUACAUGUUGUCCAACCUCCUAAAAUUUCCUUACUAAAUCCUCCUCAAUCAAGAGAUUUUUAUUCUUCUGACUAGUCAACUUCCUGCAAUCAGUCGCCCUAUGUCCUUGAUCACCACAUCUAAAACACUUGACAUAUUAGCUAGAAUUGUUCCACGGAGGCUAAUAUGCAGGAAGGGGUUCUUGAGGACCAAUUGGCUGACUAUUUUCACCUUUGACCACUGGCCUCCUAUUUUGCUGCUUCUCCAUGGCAAGUACAUCUAGUAUGCUUCAAAAGUUGUCGACAAUGAAUAAAGGGUGAGAACAUCAUGCAAGGGCUGGUUUAGUCCUCUAAAAUACCAUGCCACCAUCUGUUAUUCCAGACUACCAACUGAUAGAACUCUUCCAUAUAUUUAUUAACCGAUCUUGUGCCUUAUCUCAGUGAAUGGAGACGUUGAAACAAGGUUCGAGUGUAGCUGAAAGGAAGAAAAUGACCUUUCAUCUUUUUCUUCAUCUUUUCCCAAUCAGUGAUAUUGGACUUGCCCUUCUGCUCUUGUGAAUGCCUCAAUUGUUUCCACUAUGCCGAAGUUCUACCAUUGAGUUUGAUGGAGACCAAUUUAACUUUGACAUGAUCUGGGAUCUCCUUAUACUCAAAAAUUCACUCCACUUCAUUCAACCAAUCAAUAAAACCUUCGACUUGUAAUGUACUAGAAAACUCAGGGAGAUCCAUGUUGAAACCAAGGUCUCCAUGGCGAUCCUCCAAGACUCGAGCACAAUUAUGAUAUGGAUUUUCUAAACUAGAAUUGGAAUCAUGACCCUUCACUUCAUGAUUACGGAUCUCCUGUUCCGUCGAUGUUGGGUUAGCUCCGUAACUUGUCUCUGCAAAUCUUCACUCGUCACAUCCUGAACAUUACGAUCACGGUGUGGGACUUCCUCAAUUGGAACCUAUCCACGAUGACCAUGAUCACAUCGCGCCGAAAAGAGUUUUUCGGAUAGGGGUCAUAAUUGAUAACUGUAGCCAAAGUUAUUGCAAAAUUACCAAAACGUGUCAAAAUUGCCCCAAUUAAAAAAAGUAUGCAAUCACUUUCUAUCUUUGCGUCGAUCUGCCAUCUCAUAAUAUCUCAAUGCCAUCAACGUGCCAUCUAAUAUUUCGACCUCACUUAGUUCGGAACCUCCUGCAUCAAAAGGUGAACCUAAAACCCCACUAUAUGGUGAAAUGGUCUUCCAAAAGAUUGAACUUUACAAGGAAUUCUAAGUUAACAAAAUCAUUAAAUAAUAUUCACUUCAUCAAUUAAAUAGAUCCUCUAGUAAGUUUACAAGCAAUCUUAAUUUGUAAACCAAUAAAAAAAAAUAGUCAAUUGUUAACCAAAUAUCAAGGAAGAGAAACCACUAGAUGUAAAGCUACGAAAUCCGACGGAGAGGAAUUAUAGAAGUUUGCACAUCAAAUGCACACUUAUAAAAGGGAGAUAAGCAAGUUAAUUUGAAUUUUAGAGAGAAAAACAAUGUACAUUUCAUUUCCUGUUCGACAUUCCGAACACAUAAAAAGAUAAGAAACAAUAUGAUUCAACAUUAAUUCAAAAAAUAUAUAUUAAUUUAUUUUCUCAUCUCAGGAUUGCAACCGCAUAAAAUUACAAUGAAUAAUAAUCUUCAAAAAUAAAUUUGCACACAAGAUGAAUGAUGCUUAUACAUAUAAAAAUAAAAGAGUAAGCAUUUUAAGUUGACUUCAUUCUCUUGUCUCAAUCUCAAAAACUCUUGCAUCAUCUUCAAUGGCUGCAAUACAAGCAACAAAAUAUUCACCACAGCACGACUUUACUGAAAAAAGAAAAAGAGAGAGAGAAAGAGAAAAAGAAACACCCAUGUAAUCUAUAAUCUUUUUGAAACAAUAAUGUUAUCUUCUAAUAUUUACAAGUUAAGGACCAGUAUAACAGACUCACAACAAGAAGAUAAUGAAAGAAGCAGGAAUAGGGGGUUAUUAAGGUUAUCUGAUGUACCCAACUGAGAAUUGUCAUUCUCCAUGUUAGACAUCAUGUUGUCAAACGACCUCCCGGACGAUGAUGAAAACCAAUUUUAUUAGUCGACAUGAAUGACUGAACAAUAAAUCAACACUGAAUAAUGGAUGAACUGACCUAGCGUUGCUUUACCUAUUGGAUGGCUAAUAAUCUUUGUGGCUUGUUGUUUUGCUACUGGGACUUAACCCUAGUUGAACCUACUUACCGUAUUAUAACUUACCUUAAGUGGUCUUUGGACUAAUAUAUAUAUAUUGGUAAUUCUCUCCUUCUCCUUUGUGCCGUGCAUGAGAGAACCCGAGAGAGAGAGGCAUUCUUCUUCUUCUUCUCCUUCAUACAUCCUGUCAAUUAAUCUUCCCUACCAAUUGCUUGAGGCUUUGUGACUCUUACCUGUGUGGUAUCCAUCCUAAGUGUGUGGUAGAAUCAAAAAGCAAAAGAGCAAUAGCAACCAUAGGAAGAAAUUGGCGCUGGCGAUCGGUCAUCUCGAUUUUGGUGUUGAAUUCGAUGUUUAAUGGUUAACUGAGCCCGAAAAUCACUUUGAGCAGCUUGAGGAAGAUCCUAACAUCUGGUAUCAGAGCUUGGGUAGCACAAAAAGCUCAAAAUCGGCUGAUUUUCGGACAUUAAACUUAGAACCCUAAUCUGAAAAUUAUCAAUUACUCACAAACCAAAGCUCGGUUGGACAAACGAAGGCCAUACCCAUCACUAGCAGGUCGAGGUGCUCCCGGAGAGGUGGCAUGUGGACAACGGCGGCAGCGCGUGGGCGGCUGUUCGGCGACGCUGUCUUCAGGUAACUUGCUUGUUUCGAUCUCCUGAACGCGCUGAUAUACUUUGUUUUGUGUUUCAGGUUACACAGAAAAAGUUGGACGAUUUUGCCCCUGAUGCGACACCGACUGAAAUUUAACAGCAAGUUCGUUUUUCUCCACUUUACGGACUCAGAUAGGUUCGCUUUGGUAAAUUGGCUUAAUCCAUUUAAAUUCAGCAAUAGCAAGAUCAUCGUGUGGGGUGAUCGUUAGGUUUUGGAGUUACCGUGAAGGGGUAACCAUUGCUUGUGCUAGAACUAGGAUUACUUGCAUUAAUUGAGUGCUUGUUCUUUUGAUUUAAAGUGCUUGGUAUUUCUUGGUGGACGUAGCGUUUAGGUUCAUUGUUACUUUUGCUAAGAAUUAACAAGAUAUUACCUUAUCACGCUUCCUAAUACUACUUCGUGUGGUUUAAUUAGUGUGUUAACCAAUGACAACACAUAAUUUUGAUUUGGGAAUUUUUAACGGUAAAGGGGACUUCUCUAUCUGGCAACAAAAGAUGAGAGGCAUACUAGUCCAACAAAAGGUGUUAAAAGCCAUCGAAGGCAAUUUUGCACCUGACAUCUCAAAAGAACAAAAAGAGGAAGCCAAUGAGCUUGCCUAUACCUCAAUAAUAUUACACUUGUCUGACGCUGUCUUAAGAAAAGUGGGAAAACUAAAAAUCACCAAAGAACUUUGGAAAAGACUAGAAGACUUAUACUUGCUUAAAUCUACACCGAAUAAACUCUACCUACUCGAACGAUUCUUAAGCUUUAAAAUGGAUCCUUCAAAGGAUCUCGACGACAAUUUAGAUGUAUUUAACAAAUUGGUACAAGAUAUUGUCAAUUGUGACGAAGCCGUGUCUAAAACCUAUAAGGCCAUUAUCUUGCUCAAUUCAAUCCAGGACUCUUAUAAAGAAGUUAAAAAUUCCAUUAAGUAUGGUAGGGACACGUUAACACCUGAAAUUGUCGUAGAUUCUCUUAGAAGUAAGGAGGUGGAAAUGAGGGCUGAAAAAUAGGAUAGGAGGAGUGGAGAGUUGCAUAUGAUGCGGGGUAGAACUCAAUUUAGGCAAGCCAGUCAUGAUGGAUACCAAAGUAGUGGCGAAUCAAGUAGUAAUAGUUGGAAAAAGAAGGGGAAUGGUAGACCUAGAUCAAAGUCUAGAACUAAGGCUAGAAAAUGCUAUGGCUGUGGAGGCACAGGGCAUUUUAUGAAAGACUGUCAUAAAGAAAAGGGAAAACAAAAGGUUAAGGAAAGAAAUGAGGUAAAUGUGCUAUCCUCUACCUCCGAUACCGAAAACAGUGAAGUCUAUGUGAUCACUAGUCCAGUCGUAUACACUACUGAAUUAAAUCUAACUACUAAUUCUCACAUGCAUGAGUGGAUAGUAGAUUCUGGUGCGUCUUUUCAUGUGACAUUUGAAAAGAACUGGUUUGAAAACUUGCAAGAAUCUAAUGAUGGGCAAGUAGUUCUGUGUGAUAAUUUCGCCUAUACAAUUGCUGGAAUUGUAGAUAUAAAGAUAAAAUUUAACACAGGCUUUGUGUACAUGUUAAAGGAAGUUAGAUACAUUUCGGAAUUAUCUAGAAAUUUGAUUUCAGUAGGAAGACUUGAGAAAGACAACUUCACCAGUAAAAUUGAAAACUGUAUGUUUAAAAUGAUGAAAGGUGCGUUAAUCUCUAUUAAGGGAAUCAAGAAAAAUGACAUUUACAUCACUACUGGGGAAGUGAUUAGAGGAUUAAACUCCUCUAUUUCUUCUGCCAAAAUCGAUCACACACAUACGUGGCAUAGUAGGCUUGCACACGUAAGCAUUAAAGGACUUAAGCUACUUAAUGAAAAAGGUGCAUUUGGUAAUGACUGUUUGUCUGACCUAUCGUUCUGUGAUCACUGUGUGCUUGGAAAGCACCAUAGAGUGUCGUUCUCCACUAGUACGCAUAAGGAUAAAAGCAUGCUUGAAUAAGUGCAUUCUGAUCUGUGGGGUCCUGCUAGUAAUCCCACAUCGGGUGGGAAUAGAUAUUUCCUAUCUAUCAUAAAUGACUACACUAGGAAAGUGUGGGUCUAUCUAUUGAAAGAUAAAACUGAAACCUUCCAUAACUUUAACAACUGGAAGAAACAAAUAGAAAAUCAAACUAGCAAGAGGAUCAAAUUUUUAAGGACAGAUAACGGCCUAGAAUUCUGUAAUGCUAAAUUCAAUAGGAUGUGUAAAGAAAGUGGAAUAACAAGGCACAAAAUGGUUCCUUAUACUCCCCAGCAAAACGGGGUAGCAGAAAGAAUGAAUAGGACCAUAUUAGACAAAGUGUGCUGCAUGAUGUUAAGUUCUGGGGUUCCUAAGUCAUUUUGGGGUGAAGCCGUUGUCAUUGCCUGUUAUCUAAUAAAUUUGACUCCAUCGGCUGCAUUAAAUGGUGAUACUCCACAUGAGAAAUGGUCUGAAAAAUUGGGUGACUACUCAAUGCUUAAAGCGUUUGGCUGUGCUGCCUUUUCUCAUCAAAGUGAGGGAAAGUUAGAACCUAGAGCCAGGAAGUGUGUCUUUCUAGGAUAUCCUGAAGGGCUAUAGGCUAUGGGAUAGAAGCCAAAAAGGAGUUAAGAUCAUCGUGAGUAGGGAUGUCACAUUUAAUGAGAGUGAGAUGCCUUGUCUAAAGAACGAAACCGAACCUGUAAGUGAAACUGAAUCAAGUGAAGAGAAAAAUCGGUUUAAGGUGGAGUUAGGAAAAUUUAACACAUCAGUACCUAGUACUUUGAGUGAGGUGGAGAUUCAGGUCCAAGAACCCGAAGAGGAAAAUGAAGUAGUAAUAGAAGAGCAUCCUGAGGAAGAAAAUCCAUUAGCUAACUAUAAUUUAGUUAGAGAUAGAGAGAGAAGAUAAACGAGAGAACCUAGAAGGUUCGGGUAUGAAUCUGAAUUGGAUUUUGCAUACGCUAGUUACGAAGAACUAGUUGAUAGGGAGCCGGAAACUUUUGAAGAGGCUAUGAAUAGUGGUCAAUCUAAGGAGUGGCUUAAGGCUAUGAAAGAAGAGAUGAGUUCUCUAGAAAAGAAUCAAACUUGGACCGAGACCUAAGAAUAAAUCAAUCGUUGAUUGCAAGUGGGUCUUUAAGGUUAAGAAAGGUACUAGUAGUACAGAACCCUUAAGAUUUAAGGCUAGGUUAGUAGCGAAGGGUUACACACAAAAAGAAGGUGUUGAUUAUAAUGAGAUUUUCUCACCAGUUGUCAAGUACACUACUAUUAGGGUCAUGCUCGCAUUGGUUGCGCUCUUUGACUGGGAACUUGAACAACUCGAUGUAAAAAACCGCUUUUUUACAUGGAGAGCUUGAUGAACAAAUCUUUAUGAAUCAACCAAAAGGUUUUAAAAACAAGUUAAAACCUGAUUAUAUGUGUUUUCUGAGAAGAUCCCUAUACGGUCUAAAGCAAUCACCUAGACAGUGGUACAAGAGGUUUGAUUCCUUUGUACUCACUAUAGGAUUUCAAAGAAGUAAAUUCGAUCACUGCCUAUACUUUCAACACAACGAGACUGAUAACAAUUAUUUAUUUUUGUUGCUCUAUGUGGACGACAUGCUUUUAGUUGGAUCAUCUCCUAAGUGGAUAAACAAUAUAAAAGUAGAUCUUAGUGGAGAAUUUGACAUGAAAGACCUAGGAAAGGCUAAAAGGAUUUUAGGCAUGAAAAUAGAACGAAAUAGGUCAAAUUCCAUCGUAUUCUUGCAUCAGUCUCCAUACAUAUCAAAGGUGUUGAAAAGGUUUAAUAUGAGUGACUGCAAACCUGUCACGUUGCCUCUUGCAAACCAUUUUGUUCUAUCUAAAGAACAAGCUCCCUGCAAUGAACGUGAAGUGGAAUACAUGAGUAAAAUUCCAUACUCAAAUGUGAUUGGUUCCAUAAUGUAUUUGAUGGUUUGCACUAGAUCAGACUUAGGAUUCACUGUUAGUACUUUCAGUAGGUACAUGUCUAAUCCAGGUCCUAAACAUUGGGAAGCAUUAAAGUGGCUUUUAAGAUAUUUGAAGGGUACAAGUGACGCAGGUCUAAAAUCUAGUGCUAAUAAGGAAGGCGUGAAAUUAAAGGGUUUUGUAAAUGCUGACUAUGCAGGAGAUAGGGAUGGUAGGAAAUCAACUUCCUCUUACGUAUUCACCUUAUCAAAUUCGUGUGUUAGUUGGAAAUCACAGUUACAACACAUAGUUGCACUAUCCACUACAGAGUCAGAAUAUAUUGCCACCACUGAAGCAAUUAAAGAGGCUCUAUGGCUUAGAGGUCUACUUCAUGAACUGAGUGUCUUGAAUGAGUAUGUGGUUGUGUACUCUGAUAGUCAGUUAUCCAUACAUCUGUGUAAGAAUCUUGUUUUUCACGAACGCACUAAACAUAUCGAUGUUAGGUUACACUUCAUUAGGGAUAUAAUAUCACAAGAAGUAGUAAAAUUUGAAAAAAUUCACACACAAUAUAAUCCUUCAAAUAUGGGCAUGAAAGUGCUGUCAUUGGUAAAGUUUAGAAGUUGUAAGGAGCUUCUAAACAUCGGUACAGGUAAAUGAUUUCAAUUUUAUCGAUUUUCUAUUAGAGGUGUCACUAAUGGAAAACGUUUUUCUUUGCAAGUCCUUUGACACCAAGAUGGAGGUUAUUAGACAUCAUGUUGUCAAACGACCUCCCGGGCGAUGAUGAAAACCAAUUUUAUCAGUCGACAUGAAUGACUGAACGAUAAAUCAACACCGAAUAAUGGAUGAACCGACCUAGCGUUGCUUUACCUAUUGGAUGGCUAAUAAUCUUUGUGGCUUGUUGUUUUGCUAUUGGGACUUAACCCUAGUUGAGCCUACUUACCAUAUUAUAACUUACCUUAAGUGGUCUUUGGACUAAUAUAUAUAUUGGAAAUUCUCUCCUUCUCCUUUGUGCCGUGCGUGAGAGAACCCGAGACAGAGAGGCAUUCUUCUUCUUCUUCUCCUUCAUGCAUCAUGUCAAUUAAUCUUCCCUACCAAUUUCUUGAGGCUUUGUGACUCUUACCUGUGUGGUAUCCAUCCUAAGUGUGUGGUAGAAUCAACAAGCAAAUGAGCAAUAGCAACCAUAGGAAGAAAUUGGUGCCGGCGGUCGGUCAUCUCGAUUUUGGUGUUGAAUUCGAUGUUUAAUGGUUAACUGAGCCCGGAAAUCACUUUGAGCAGCUUGAGGAAGAUCCUAACACUCCAGUUUAUUCUUGAGUGGAGGAUCACACUCUACCUCCGGUAGGAUGCAGCAAUCUACCAAUAAACACAAACAGAAAGCACUCUGUUGUUGAGGCUACAGCCAUUGAAACGCUAUUUUUUACUGCUACAGACUCGUAUUGCCCAAUCUGAUUCAGGUUUUAAACAUAGUGACACAGUUUUGAAAUGUUAAAAGCAAUUAACAUUGUCUAUACUGUUGUUUGAGCUAGUGAAUUUAUGCGACUUUCCAUACUAAAACUCUAUAGUUUUAUGUGAUUUUCAUAAUUUUUUCGACUAAGAUAAAAAUGAUUAGCUUACACACUUAUCCCAAGAGAAUAAAGAAAAGAAAAUACACGCACGUGGACAACAAUUAUUUAGUCUUGACAGAACCUUGCAUUUUAAUUAAACUGACAACAGUACAGUUAGAUAUUUAAUAUGGGUACAAGAAAAUUAAUUAAUUAUUUGAAGAUAAAGGUGGCAGAAUGAAAUGACUUUCAUUAAAAGGAAAAGAUCAAGCAAAUUAGGAAAUGAAGUUUAAUGGUGUUUACCUCUGUCACAGCUCUUGGCCCCAUGCAGUCAUCGUGAAGACCCUUUGGAAGUAGUAAACUGAGAGAUCUGUAACAAUUUUUCCUGCUUUGGAAGAGGUAAACUGAGAGAUCUGCAAAAAUUUUUAGCACAUCAAAGCAUUAAUUCAUGAAACUUAAUAAAAUUGUAUGAUUUGAUCUCCCAUUAAGAAAUUAUUUGCUAACAAAACUUAGCAAAGCAAUAUCUGCAGAGACAAGUGAAAAUAGUACAUUGUUCAGACAAACUUAGAAUAGAUGAUAGCAUCUAAAAGCACCACCACUUGUUAUAGAAAUUGAAUUUGGCUGCAACGUUCCUUGGGCGAUGCAAUUGGAAAACUUUAAAGUUGAUGGAAAAAUCAGAUUGAUUGAAAAUGCUUCCGAAAUAGUUACGAAGGUUCUCUAUAAAUUGAAAUGAACAUGUUUAUCUCAUUCUUACAGGCGUGCAUUAAAUACACGAAUUAUUAUAAUACAACUAGAGAGGCUUUAUAAUUUUACAUCUCCAGAUUUUUUCUCCUUUGAUAUUUUGUACAAUGAUGAUGGUUAUGUUUUAUUCAUUCACAAAUCACAUUUACUUGUCACAUCUUGUGUGCCACCCCAAUAUCGCACGCAACGAUUAGAAGAAUCAAGAUUCAAUCACUAAUAGUGACGGAAAAUGCAUUCCCUUUUCUAGGACUUGUUUGCUAACGAUACUACAAAGACUUCACAUCAAACAGCUGAUUAUAAUUAAUUUGCACACCAUCCUAGAUGUCGUAAAUUGCAGCAAUUAACUCUACGAAGUUAGGAAGAUAGCAACAUAUAUCAUGAUGCUCUUAGUUGAGAAUAUAGGAAGUUCUCCAACGUACUUUAAUUAGGAAUUAUCUUAUAUUAUUAUGCAAUCUAAAUCUUAUGAACUGAUCUAUUGUCCCUACCGCUGGAAUAUUGUAAUAAAAGAUUAUUUAUUGUGCUUCCUUUGAAUGAGUGAAUUUCGGAUGAGUGAUGUUUAUACAUAUAAAAGGAAAAGAGGUAGCAUUUGAAAUUGAAUUCUGUCUCUUUUGCCAAUCUCAAUACCUCUUACAUCAUCUUCAAUUGCAGCAAUACAAGCAAACUAAUUUAGCAUCAUAUUCGCCCACAACCCGACUUACAUGUGCAAUCUAUAAUUUUUUUGAAAAGUCUAAUAUUUACAAGCUAAUGAUCAGUUUAACAGAUUGAUAACAUGAAGAUCAUGAAAGGGGAUGGAACUGGGCAACCCAUCUUGAGAAAGUUUUGAAGGUCGAGGCCUUGGGAUCAGAAACUAUUGAUGGAGACAUAGGAAGAAGCUCUAGAUUCAGUUGUCAGAGAACAGGAGGUUGUGAAGGUUGUAUGAUGUUGCCCAACUGAGAAUUGUUAUUCUCUUUAUUCUUGAGUUCGGAGGAUCACACUCUUCACUUUCAGUAAGACGUAGCGAUCUGCCAUUAAAUACAGAUAGAAAGCACUCCGUGGUUGAGUCUACCACUAUUGAAAUUCUAUCUUUACUGCCUUAGUCUCAUAUUGUCCAAUGUGAUUCACGUCAUAAACACAGUGACACAAUUUUGAAAAGUUAAAAGCAAUUAACCUUGUAUAUACAUAAGUUUGAGCCUGUGUUUCUAUAUGUGUAUUGUAUCGAAAGCAAAUUUUUAAAUUUAUAGUACUAUCC
rnacentral:lncRNA from 1 species